rnacentral:tRNA from 1 species
GGUAAGAUGGCCGAGUGCUAGGCGGUAGGCUGUAGACCUACUUACAGGGGUUUGACUCCUCUUCUUACCA